UACGUAGGGUGCAAGCGUUGUCCGGAAUUAUUGGGCGUAAAGAGCUCGUAGGCGGUUUGUCGCGUCUGCUGUGAAAACUCGGGGCUUAACCCCGGGCCUGCAGUGGGUACGGGCAGACUAGAGUGCGGUAGGGGAGACUGGAAUUCCUGGUGUAGCGGUGAAAUGCGCAGAUAUCAGGAGGAACACCGGUGGCGAAGGCGGCUUCCUGGACCGAUUACUGACGCUGAGGCGCGAAAGCUAGGGGAGCAAACGGG
rnacentral:rRNA from 1 species